UCAAGCGAACAAGGGCGCAGGGCGAAUGCCUUGGCACUGGGAGCCGAUGAAAGACGUGAUAAGCUGCGAUAAGCUUCGGGGAGCUGCAAAUAAGCAUUGAUCCGGAGAUUUCUGAAUGAGGAAACUCACCUGGGUUCAUACUCAGGUACGUUAUACUGAACUUAAAAAUAGGUAUAUCGAGGGAACCGCCUGAACUGAAACAUCUAAGUAGGGCGAGGAAGAGACAUCAAACGAGAUUCCGUAAGUAGUGGCGAGCGAACGCGGAAGAGGGCAAACCGGAAGUAGAAAUACUUCCGGGGUACGGACUGCUUUUAGGACUUAAUCUGUUAACCGAACGGCAUGGGAAGGCCGGUCAGAGAGUGUGAGAACCACGUAGGUGAAAACGGAGAGAGCUGCGCAGGAUCCAGAGUACGGCCAGACACGUGAAACCUGGUCGGAAUAUGGGGGGACCACCCUCCAACCCUAAAUACUACCCAGUGACCGAUAGCGUAUAGUACUGUGAAGGAAAGGUGAAAAGCACCCCGGGAGGGGAGUGAAAAAGAACCUGAAACCCUGUGCCUACAAGCACCUAGAGCACGUCAAUGUGUGAUAGGGUACUUUUUGUAGAACGGUCCGGCGAGCGAUUGUAUGCAGCAAGGUUAAGGACUUAAGGUCUGGAGCCGAAGCGAAAGCGAGUUUGAAAAGGGCGUUAAGUUGCAUACAAUGGGCCCGAAACCGGGUGACCUACCCAUGGUCAGGUUGAAGUGGAAGUAAAAUUCCAUGGAGGACCGAACCGACCUCCGUUGAAAAGGCGGCGGAUGAACUGUGGGUAGCGGAGAAAUUCCAAUCGAACCCGGAGAUAGCUGGUUCUCCCCGAAAUAGUUUUAGGACUAGCCUCAAGUUAGAUACCUGGAGGUAAAGCACUGAAUAGCCUAGCGGCCGAGAGGUUAGCGAAGCUUAUCAAACUCAGAAUGCCAGAGUAUUGAUGCUUGGGAGUCAGACAGUGUCAGAUAAAUGUCAUUGUCAAAAGGGAAACAGCCCAGAUCUACAGCUAAGGUCCCAAAGUCAGGUUAAGUGGAAAACGAUGUGAAGAUACGUAGACAACCAGGAUGUUGGCUCAGAAGCAGCCACACAUUCAAAGAGUGCGUAAUAGCUCACUGGUCGAGCGUCUUUGCGCGGAGAAUUUAACGGGGCUAAACCUGACACCGAAGCUUAGGCAAUACAGCAAUGUAUUGGGUAGGGGAGCGUUGUAUACGCGGUGAAACAGUAGCGCAAGCGGCUGUGGAGUGUAUAGAAGUGAGAAUGCCGGAAUGAGUAGCGCGAAUGCAGUGAGAAUCUGCAUGGCCGAAAGCCUCAGGUUUCUGGAGGAAGGUUCGUCCGCUCCAGGUUAGUCGGGAGCUAAGGUGAGGCCUAACGGCGUAGCCGAUGCACAGACGGUAGAGAUUCCGUCACCACCAAAAGAGUUAAACACAGGGACACAUUUGAAGUCUCGGAGCCGGGUGUUGGUUCCGGUAGCGAUCGAGGGAAGUUAGUACCGAAGUCCGGGAUGGAAGAUGGCGAGAAAAGCUGUGUGUAUUUCUGCGGUGCCCGUACCGCAAACCGACACAGGUAGGUAGGAAGAAGAUUCUAAGGCCAACGGGAGAAGGGUUGUUAAGGAACUCGGCAAAUUGACCCCGUAACUUCGGGAGAAGGGGUGCUCCAGAGAUGGAGCCGCAGAGAAUCGGCCCAAGCAACUGUUUACCAAAAACACAGGUUUGUGCUAAAUCGAAAGAUGACGUAUACGAGCUGACGCCUGCCCGGUGCUGGAAGGUUAAGAGGAGAUGUGCAAGCAUUGAAUCGAAGCCCCAGUGAACGGCGGCCGUAACUAUAACGGUCCUAAGGUAGCGAAAUUCCUUGUCAGGUAAG
rnacentral:rRNA from 1 species